UCAGGAUGAACGCUGGCGGCGUGCCUAAUACAUGCAAGUCGAGCGAGAAUCAGUGAUGUAGAGAUUCGUCGAAGCGGAUCUGAGGAAAGCGGCGGACGGGUGAGUAACGCGUAGGCAACCUGCCCUUAGCAGAGGGAUAGCCAUUGGAAACGAUGAUUAAAACCUCAUAAUGCUGUUGAAACACAUGUUUUGGCAGCCAAAGAUUUAUCGGCUAGGGGAUGGGCCUGCGUCUGAUUAACUAGUUGGUGAGGUAACGGCUCACCAAGGUGACGAUCAGUAGCCGACCUGAGAGGGUGAUCGGCCACAUUGGAACUGAGACACGGUCCAAACUUCUACGGAAGGCAGCAGUAAGGAAUCUUGCACAAUGGGGGAAACCCUGAUGCCAGCAACGCCGCGUGAACGAUGAAGGCCUUAGGGUUGUAAAGUUCUGAUCUGUGGGAAGAAGAAGUGACGGUACCACAGGAGAAAGCCCCGGCUAAAUACGUGCCAGCCGCUGC
rnacentral:rRNA from 1 species